CCUACGGGAGGCAGCAGUGAGGAAUAUUGGUCAAUGGACGAGAGUCUGAACCAGCCAAGUAGCGUAAAGGAUGACUGCCCUAUGGGUUGUAAACUUCUUUUAUAUGGGAAUAAAAUGUUCCACGUGUGGGAUUUUGUAUGUACCAUAUGAAUAAGGAUCGGCUAACUCCGUGCCAGCAGCCGCGGUAAUACGGAGGAUCCGAGCGUUAUCCGGAUUUAUUGGGUUUAAUGGGAGCGUAGGUGGAUUGUUAAGUCAGUUGUGAAAGUUUGCGGCUCAACCGUAAAAUUGCAGUUGAAACUGGCAGUCUUGAGUACAGUAGAGGUGGGCGGAAUUCGUGGUGUAGCGGUGAAAUGCUUAGAUAUCACGAAGAACUCCGAUUGCGAAGGCAGUUCACUGGACUGCAACUGACACUGAGGCUCGAAAGUGUGGGUAUCAAACAGGAUUAGAUACCCUAGUAGUC
rnacentral:rRNA from 1 species